CCCCCCCCCCCCCCCCCCCCCCCCCCCCCCCCCCCCCCGCGACAGGCAGCGCAGCCCGGGGGUCCGGCCGAGCCCCGUGGCUGCCGUGCGCAGCUCCUCGGCCCUGAAGCUACUCUCAACCCAAACCUUCCUCACCCGCACCUCCUUUGGACCACACUUUCGGUCUGGUUUGUGUUUUAGGUGGGAUGAGAAGCACCGAGGGUCAGCGGGGUGCGCAUCCCGUUCUUGCUGGCUGGUUUCAAAUACCCAGGACGGGCCCCAUCACGAAGUCCGGAAGAUGAAAGGGGGGCGAGGCCCUCACCUGCUCUCAGCUGCUCCCUUUCUUGCAGCGCUGGUGGCGAAGGCAGAGUGCACGGUCUCCACCGUCGAGACUGAGGCCUGAUCUGUGGGAAAGUGGAUCUGGUUUAACUGUCCCUUGGCACGGCCCGGAGACUCCACUCCGUAUGUAGUACUUUCCAUCAGUACUUACAGCAAGUACUGCUGUAGUCUCUGAUAAUAUUGUAUUUGUCAGAAGUAAUGGAAAUUAUGAUCGAUGCCAAACCCUCUCUGCUAUGGAACUUCUAACCACUGCAGAUCUGUUUUUCAGCUUGUUCACAGUGGCUUCCCCACCUGCAAAGGUAUUUCCCCUCCUUCCCCCGGCGACGGGCCGCACACCCUAUCGGAACCGAAUACCGGCUGCCAUGUGCCCGCAGCUCAGCGCGUCCCGACCAGCCUUCACCAUGAGAGUCCCGUCGAGCAGCGGCCGUUUGGUCUCUGCUCGCUGCCCCUUCCUGCGCUACAAAGCAUGCCCGAGAUGUGGAGGAGACAUUCAUGCAGAGGGUGUGCAGGAGAACGGCACUUCAGAAGGUAACAAGCCGCUGCCAGAUCCACGCUGCGGCAACAACCGUGUUCGAUGCCUCAUUGCGCAGUGCCCGUCGGUUUUGGGGAGAGACGGAGAAAUGAACGCGAGUAAACCUCUUGCUCUUGUUUCUCACUUGCGGAAGAACUCUGUUCCCCGCCGCCAGUCUCCUCCGCCUGGAGGUGUACUGCGGGCAUCCGGCCCAGGAGCCACGCCGGCCCCUUCCCAGACGCCUGGCUCGGCUCGCCGCUCAGUCACCGGCACGACGGAAAACAACAAAGGCAAAGGCUGCGGGGUUGGGAAGGCACGCACGGGGAGCCCCUCGGCCAAACUCUCGAGCAGCCCGGCUGCCGCAGUGCGGGUGGCACCGGGGCUGUGCAGGGCUGCGCAGCGGAGCGCAGCCUCCGCGGCCUCGGCGGUGCUCCACCGAGCCCGCGCGUGUGAGCGGGGAGGCACCGGGCAGCGUCUCCGCGGGGAUCACCGCAGGAAGCCCACGGAAGAUGCACAGCGGACGAAGAUGUGCCCUCAGUGCAGCAGUGAGAGACACAGGGGCAUCCACUGCGCUCCGCGUCACGGAGAGACUUAUCGGCUAGGCACCGCAAUGCCCAAGGUGUAGAAAAACAUUUGGACUGGACCGAGCGAAGUGCGGAUUUUUUUGUUGUUUUUAUUUUCUUUUUUGUUUGUUUGGGUUUUUUUAAGCGCGGUGUGUAGUCAAUUUCAGAAUUUCUACCGCUGAGCUCAAUUCAGAAGGAAAUUUGUAGUUGUGGGGGUUUUAUUUUUCUAAUCAAAAUAAUUGAGCUUGCCCUUCCUCUAAGCCACAGGAGACCUGUUGAAUUGAUUCUGUUUCCCUUCUGCUGGUGCAGUAAAACGGCAUGCAGAAAUCUGCGGGCCCCCGUAUUUAGAUGAUUAUGCAAUUUAUGUUAGAAGCAAAAGGAUAAUUAGAUAAUUCAGCUGUUGCAUUAAUUCGUUUCUUAAGGCUGGGAAAGCCUUAUCUCUAAGGUUAAUCCGAAGGUAUUUCUGUCCCCUUCGUGAAAUAGGAAACCAUGUGAGAGCAUCGAAACACGUCUGAACGUUCAGGAGCAUGUUUCUCGCACCCGAUGAUAUCACCAUCCAGUGCCCGCACUGCGGUCAUCUCUCCUGCUAAAGCCCAGGCUUUGGCAAGUCCUUUAAAAUCCCGUGAAUGUCUCUUCAUACCGCAGUGGUCGUUGGACUGCUUCUUUAGUUUCAUUGCAGGGGAGUACAUGCACACCUAAAUAUACGAGAUAUAUUAAAUACA
rnacentral:lncRNA from 12 species